rnacentral:rRNA from 1 species
GAUGAACGCUGGCGGCGUGCCUAAUACAUGCAAGUCGAGCGAACAGACGAGGAGCUUGCUCCUCUGACGUUAGCGGCGGACGGGUGAGUAACACGUGGAUAACCUACCUAUAAGACUGGGAUAACUUCGGGAAACCGGAGCUAAUACCGGAUAAUAUAUUGAACCGCAUGGUUCAAUAGUGAAAGACGGUUUUGCUGUCACUUAUAGAUGAAUCCGCGCCGCAUUAGCUAGUUGGUAAGGUAACGGCUUACCAAGGCAACGAUGCGUAGCCGACCUGAGAGGGUGAUCGGCCACACUGGAACUGAGACACGGUCCAGACUCCUACGGGAGGCAGCAGUAGGGAAUCUUCCGCAAUGGGCGAAAGCCUGACGGAGCAACGCCGCGUGAGUGAUGAAGGUCUUCGGAUCGUAAAACUCUGUUAUUAGGGAAGAACAAAUGUGUAAGUAACUAUGCACGUCUUGACGGUACCUAAUCAGGAAGCCACGGCUAACUACGUG